GAUGAAGAACGCAGCGAACUGCGAUAAGUAAUGUGAAUUGCAGAAUUCAGUGAAUCAUCGAAUCUUUGAACGCACAUUGCGCCCUCUGGUAUUCCGGGGGGCAUGCCUGUUCGAGCGUCAUUAUAACCACUCAAGCUCUCGCUUGGUAUUGGGGUUCGCGGUUUCGCGGCCCCUAAAAUCAGUGGCGGUGCCUGUCGGCUCUACGCGUAGUAAUACUUCUCGCGAUUGAGUUCGAUAGGUCUACUUGCCAGUAACCCCCAAUUUUUACAGGUUGACCUCGGAUCAGGUAGGGAUACCCGCUGAACUUAAGCAUAUCAAUAAGCGGAGGA
rnacentral:misc_RNA from 1 species